UUUCACUUGGCUCGGGCAUGUUUGGUUUCUGAUACUUGGAACCUCGGCAAAAAGAAACUAGUAUUUGAGGACAAAACUAUAUCCAAGUUUAUCAAUUAACGACAUGUAAAGCCAAGCUGAACCAUGAGACUUAUUGCCCGGGGAAGGAGAUGGUGGGAAAAUAAGCAAUUGGUCACCUGUGGAUCUCAAAGCAGUGAGGACAGCAUGGCUCAUGGUGCAGCAACUUUGAUUGGAAAAUGGAACAUGCACAGGAGCAGAGGAAAUAUGCCUUGUGUCCCUUCUUCCAUGCCACCCCAUUUGUGCAUAAUGUUUAUGCUGCCCAUGAACGUGGAAUUCAGGUAGACCCAUGAUGUGUGGGAGUUCAGUGGCUCAGAGCAAAAGUGAGUAUAAGGUAGGUAUGUUAUGCCUAUCACUGCAUAAGUGACAGCCCCGAGAGGUCACAAUGUCCAUUUGAACCAGAACUUCCAACAUGAAAAGAGACACAAAUGACCAGGAAACGCUACUGUAUCUUUCUUCCUAGUGUCACUUCCCUGCAUUAUCCAUUUGUUUAUGCUGAAAAUAAUAACAAAGGAAAGAAAAAGAUAAA